UACAAAUCAUACAUGAUGGGGGGGAAAAAAGAACACUUAAUGAAGACAGAUCCCAAAUUUUCCUAUACACAAGGCAUGACAAAUCUACAUGUAUCAAUCUAUAUAAGAGGCAAGUGUCUGUAUCUGCAUCCAUUCUCGCUUCAUACAAGGACUCCAAAGUUACCGCCAUGGUAAGAAAUACUACUGGCACUUAUUUUCCAAAAGUGCUUUUAGUACUGUCAAUUCGCUCUUCUUCUGUCUUCAAGUGAUUCAAAAUUACACUUUCACAGACAAUUUCAGUAUCAGGAACAUGAAAAUGCAACACAAGGGCAAAUCAGGUAUUAUGGAUGUUCCAACAUUGAUAGUUGAUCUUUAGCACAAUUUAAGGUGCUAUACAAGCAAGCAUUUGCCUGGUAGGACAGAAAACCACAAAAAAAACCUCAGUCAGGAUAGCCUGUCUCUGAGACGAGAUUUGAAUCUGGGGCCUCCAGAAAACGAAGCUGAGUGCUAACCACUCGGCCGCGACUGUUGGUCCGUCUCGUAUACUGAUAGAUGACAGAAGUUAAAUGCGACCAACAAUUUCUGGUGUGGAUUUCAACUUAAAGUUUAAGUGAAAUCCGCAGGUGGGUGGACGAAAAUAAACCCAACCUGACGACUGUCUGGGAGGUUGCCCAGUGUAAUCUCGCAGAAACUGAUCGACGUUUCAGAGCUGCUUACUGCAGCAAGCACCUCUGAAAUGUGGGUCAGUUUUUACCAGACUACAGUGCGCAACAUCCCAGUAGACAUACUCGCCGUCAACACAACCUCUCUUGCAUUCAUACACUUCAUCGUUUCUUUUGUGAAGAACAGAAAAGAAAUCAAUGUGUAAAAUGCGUUUUUAUAUUUCAAAAAAACAGUCGUUUUAUUUCAGCUAACAUGAGAGCCAGGAACCUAGAACUUGCAACUUUCUACCUAACACGUGGUAAAUUCCUUAGUCAACACAGCUUUUGUGUCAUUAGCGACAGGAAUACAAAUCUAAGCCAACUAAACACGAUGACUGAGAAUAUGGGUUAACCAGAAAACAAAACAGCCGUGUACAGAAUUGACCACAGGUGUCCAUUUGUGUAACAAUGUGCAGCGAACAAUGGCUGACUCAUACUAGAGAUAAGUACCCAACAUGUCGGAGUCCUCCCUCCCAUGAAAAGCUUGCAACACAAUAACUACGCACUGAAUACGAUAAACUAUUUACGUUCUUCUCUCUGACGUGACAAACAGGCGUUGACCUAAACAAAAAAAAGCUGUGGGGUUAACCCGACAGUCUCCCGGCUCAUUUUAAUCAGACCCGUGGUUAUACUCUGCUGCGUCGCAGUUCCUUCAGUAGUUCCUGAACCAAGUUUGUCCAUAUUUCCUGAAGAUGAACAUCUUGCAGCAACACUGAACACGAAUUACGAAAUUCUUAAUAAGGCAGGAAGGAGACCUCUCGAAAUUCUGAAGGACUAUUUGCAUGUAUUCAUUUAUCUGCAGGUCAUUUAAACACGCUGUCAGUAGUUCAGGCAAUAUAGCGUUGAAUGAUGGGAUUAACAAUUAAUUGGAAAGGGCGUGGAAGGAAGCGGUAGUGGCCCAAGGUACUACCCCAAUAUUUGUCUUGUGGGACUGUGUGAAACCACAAAAAAAAAUAUCAUACGAUAUAUGACAACUCGUCUCCAGGACGAGACUUGAACUUGGGACUAUAGAAAAGAAAGGAGAGACGCUAACCACUCGGCGGCAACGUCUCAGACGUUCGUUCGCGAAGAGAACCGGUAGCAAUACUUGGAACGAAGCGACCGGUACAACGCUCUGAAGAAUUCAGUCACUCGGAACAAUAAAACACGCAGUUAAUUUUCCCCCCUCCUUGGGAAACGGAAUUAAUUCAUGUAAAAUGUGAAAGUCAAAAAGAGCGUGGUAGAAGAAACAUAUGAGAAAAGCCAAAGUAUUGCAUACAAAAGCAGCCAGGGAUAUAAUCAUCAGCUGAAGAGGAUGGACUCAUGAAUAAAUCAGGUAUAGCCUUGGGACUUCAUAAAUGGAUGUACUUACAGUCUGCAUAGUAAUGAGGAACUCAGGAAACAUUCCAUACGAUUGCAGGCACAUGCCAAAAGUGGUUGGCUUUUAUUAACAGGAAUUAAUAAAUUAAACACAAAAAUGC